rnacentral:rRNA from 1 species
UGGGGAAUAUUGCACAAUGGAGGGAACUCUGAUGCAGCGACGCCGCGUGAACGAAGAAGGCUUUCGAGUCGUAAAGUUCUUUUAUAUGGGAAGAUAAUGACGGUACCAUAAGAAAAAGCCCCGCCUAACUACGUGUCAGCAGCCGCGGUAAUACGUGGGGGGCUAGCGUUGUCCGGAAUCACUGGGCGUAAAGGGUUCGCGGGCGGAAAUGCAAGUCAGGUGUAAAAGGCAGUAGCUUAACUACUGUAAGCAUUUGAAACUGCAUAUCGUGAGAAGAGUAGGGGUAAGUGGAAUUUUUAGUGGAGCAGUGAAAUGCGUAGAUAAUAAAAAGAAUACCGGGGGCGAAGGCGACUUACUGGGCUCAUUCUGACGCUGAGGAACGAAAGCGGGGGUAGCAAACAGG